rnacentral:rRNA from 1 species
AUUGAACGCUGGCGGCAGGCCUAACACCUGCAAGUCGAACGAGUGGCGGACGGGUGAGUAAUGUCUGGGAAACUGCCCGAUGGAGGGGGAUAACUACUGGAAACGGUAGCUAAUACCGCAUACCAUCGGAUGUGCCCAGAUUGGAUUAGCUAGUAGGUGGGGUAACGGCUAACCUAGGCGACGAUCCCUAGCUGGUCUGAGAGGAGGACCAGCAAAACUGGAACUGAGACAAGGUCCAGACGCCUACGGGAGGCAGCAGUGGGGAUGAUGGCACAAUGGGCGCAAGCCUGAUGCAGCCAUACCGGGUGGUUGAAGAAGGCCGUCGGGUGGUAAAGUACUUUCAGCGAGGAGGCGUUACUCACAGAAGAAGCACUGGCUAACUCCGAGCCAGCAGCGGCGGUAAUUC